UACGGGAGGCAGCAGGGGGAAUAUUGCACAAUGGGCGCAAGCCUGAUGCAGCCAUGCCGCGUGUAUGAAGAAGGCCUUCGGGUUGUAAAGUACUUUUCAGUCGUGAGGAAGGUGUUAAGGUUAAUAACCUUAGCAAUUGACGUUAGCGACAGAAGAAGCACCGGCUAACUCCGUGCCAGCAGCCGCGGUAAUACGGAGGGUGCGAGCGUUAAUCGGAAUUACUGGGCGUAAAGGGCACGCAGGCGGUUAAUUAAGUUGGAUGUGAAAUCCCCGGGCUUAACCUGGGAAUGGCAUUCAAGACUGGUUAGCUAGAGUCUUGUAGAGGGGGUAGAAUUCCAUGUGUAGCGGUGAAAUGCGUAGAGAUGUGGAGGAAUACCGGUGGCGAAGGCGGCCCCUGGACAAAGGACUGACGCUCAUGUGCGAAAGCGUGGGGAGCAAACAGGGAUUAGAUACC
rnacentral:rRNA from 1 species